AGUAUUAAAGGUCCCGCCUGCCCAGUGAAUACUUUAAACGGCCGCGGUAUUCUAACCGUGCAAAGGUAGCGUAAUCAUUUGUCUUCUAAAUAAAGACUAGUAUGAACGGCUAAAUGAGGACAAACCUGUCUCCUACAGCCUAUCAAUGAAACUGAUCUUCCAGUCCAAAAGCUGGAAUAUACCCAUAAGACGAGAAGACCCUGUGGAGCUUAAAACCCAUUACUAAGUAAACAAUAUAGGCAACUAGUAUAAAGUUUUAAGUUGGGGCGACUUCGGAACAAAAUAAAACUUCCGAGCACAGAACCACAAUUUCUAACCAAGGCACACAAGCCAAAGAAAAAAUGACCCAGUCAUACUGACCAACGAACCAAGUUACCCCAGGGAUAACAGCGCCAUCUUCUUCAAGAGUUCAUAUCGACAAGAAGGUUUACGACCUCGAUGUUGGAUCAGGGCACCCCAAUGGUGCAACCGCUAUUAAAGGUUCGUUUGUUCAACGAUUAACAGC
rnacentral:rRNA from 1 species